UCUGGUCUCCCUAUGAUCUCUGACAGCGCUGAAGAGGCCCUGCAGGACUGCUUUGACUGCACAGACUGGGAUGCACUCUGCCUGCCUCAUGAGGACA